UACGUAGGGUGCGAGCGUUGUCCGGAAUUAUUGGGCGUAAAGGGCUCGUAGGCGGUUUGUCGCGUCGGGAGUGAAAUCCACUGGCUUAACUGGUGGCUUGCUUUCGAUACGGGCAGACUGGAGGUAUGCAGGGGAGGACGGAAUUCCUGGUGUAGCGGUGAAAUGCGCAGAUAUCAGGAGGAACACCGGUGGCGAAGGCGGUUCUCUGGGCAUUACCUGACGCUGAGGAGCGAAAGUGUGGGGAGCGAACAGG
rnacentral:rRNA from 1 species